rnacentral:rRNA from 1 species
UAACAUAUCGGAACGUGCCCUGGAGUGGGGGAUAACUAGUCGAAAGACUAGCUAAUACCGCAUACGAUCUACGGAUGAAAGUGGGGGAUCGCAAGACCUCAUGCUCGUGGAGCGGCCGAUAUCUGAUUAGCUAGUUGGUGGGGUAACGGCUCACCAAGGCAACGAUCAGUAUCCGGCCUGAGAGGGCGGACGGACACACUGGGACUGAGACACGGCCCAG